ACAUAAAGAAAUCAAUUUCUUGAACAAAAUAAAUCAAAUCCCAGUAAUUUCUCUGUAUAAUUUCCUCUCUUUCUCUCUCUAUCUUCCCUAAAUUGAUGCACAUACAAAGUCGCCAUUUCAAGACCAAAUCCUCAUCUGGGUUCAUUACUUCGGAUCCAAUUUCGACUCAAUAAGUGUCCUUUUCACUUUUGAUUUCAUUUGUUUGUUCAUCUUUCAGAUCUGCCCUCUUGAAUUUGACCAGGUUUGAUGUAAUGUAAUCUUGCUUGUUUGGAUCUAGGUUUGUUCUGUUUUUGUUUGAUUGAUCUGCUAGUUUUUUCAGAUCUUUUAUGUGCUUUAACGCGUGAUGAUGAGCACGCGUGAUCAGUUCUACGCGUGGAAAAAAUAGAGCGGCGGCGGUGUUUGACGUUGAUCAACGAGUGAUGGGAUCAGUUCCAGGGGCGCCUCGGGUCCUCUAAUGAUGAUAAUAAUAGUAUAGAGUAUCAACGUAUUAUAAUAGAGAAAAGUAUUUUAGUAUCAUAAAAGAGAGAAGCCAUUCUAAAUUCCAUUAAGAUACAUGUAUCAAUUAGAAAUUGAAAAUCACAAGAACAGUAACGAUGGUGUGUAAUACUAAGGCCAUCCGUAGUUAUAACGCCCCUUUGUGGGCGUUAUGCGACACGUGGCGCGCCACGUCAGCGUGUGGGCGUUAUGGGGCCUUAUGCAUUUAAGCCCGUAGUCAUAAAGCCCCCGCCUAAUCAUUACCCAAUUAAUUAAUAAACCCUUAAACUAUACAUAUAUAUGUAUAUAUAUAUGCCUGUGUGAGUGGAGAGAAAAGAAACAACAAGCAUGGCGCCGCGAAAUGUAUAACGGGAGGAGAAAAUUUUUACCCCAUAACGCCCCCCGUAGUGGUGUUCGGGGCGCUAUGAGGGCGUUAUGAAGGAAAAGGACGCCAUAUACAGCCCCAUUACACAUGCUCUAAUAUCUGAUCUUAAAGUUUUCAAACAACUAAAUAAAACAUAUUUAAAUUUACAAUGAAAAUUGGUGCAUGAAUUUGAAUUUGAAUUCAUUUUACAAUUUUUAGUUGAUUAGAUGGAUAGUCCAUUUGGUAUGGUUAUGUUGUAGUUUUAACCCUAACUUUCAUUCAUUACAUUUUAUUUAUCAAGAGUAAAUUACAAGUUUUGUCCUUUAUGUUUACAUCAAAUUACAGGCGCUGUCUUUUUGGCCAAAAAUUUAUAGGCGCUGUCCUUAACCUUCCAAAAUUUUACACGUUUUGUCCUUUAGGCCAAAACUGGUUAGAAAUCUCAGUUAAUUCUUGUCAUGUGCAAUGUACAUAUGAGGAUACAAUGGUCUUUUUCCCUCUCAACCCUUUCUAUUUCCCUCAUUUAUAACCCUUACCAACCCCUCAAUUCUAUCUUUAAUUUGUAAAUGAGCAGAACGAACUACAGGAUUGCAAAUACAUUUACACCUCUCUCCUUUACACUUUACUAAAUGAUCUACUUCCGUAUUGGGAAUCUUAAGCUAAACAAUUUAGAGUCCUUGUAGAUUUCUUGCAAAUUGAGCGGUCAUUGGUUACAAGAAAAGAAAAAGAACUCAACAUAAAAAAGGAAUCAGUAAAUUGUUCUAAGAAAUCCCAUGGAUACUGUUGAUUCUGCUAUUGAAAAAUUGGAGGAACAACUAGCAGUGCAUUAAUGAGAAUAAUGAGAUGGAAAUGAAAAUGGAAGAAGCUGUACACGAUUCAGAGAGGAAAUACAUUAAAGCUGAGUUUUAAGUCAUGGCCUCUGCUUUAUCGAAAGAAAUUGGGACGAUGACAUCACAAUUAAAUCGACAGAAGCAAACAACAUGUGAAGCUGUUUCCUUACGGGAAGAGGCCUAAUGCAGAUUGAAAGGUUACAGAAACAUGAAUAUUUUGGGUUAUGACUAGACAAUGGUUAUAUGAUAAUAGGGAUCUGAUAGAAAUUAAACAAUCUGAACAGAGAAAUCAUUCAAGCUGAAGUUUUAAAAUAAGCAUUUGAUGAACA